UCUACCUAGUAGUACGGAAUAAUUACUGGAAACGGCAACUAAUACCGUAUACGCCCUAUGGGGGAAAGAUUUAUUGCUAUUAGAUGAGCCUAUAUUAGAUUAGCUAGUUGGUAGGGUAAUGGCCUACCAAGGCUAUGAUCUAUAGCUGAUCUGAGAGGAUGAUCAGCCACACUGGAACUGAGAUACGGUCCAGACUCCUACGGGAGGCAGCAGUGGGGAAUAUUGGACAAUGAGCGGAAGCUUGAUCCAGCUAUGCCGCAUGAGUGAAGAAGGCCUUUGGGUUGUAAAGCUCUUUCAGUGAGGAAGAUAAUGACGGUACUCACAGAAGAAGUCCUGGCUAACUCCGUGCCAGCAGCCGCGGUAAUACGGAGAGGGCUAGCGUUAUUCGGAAUUAUUGGGCGUAAAGAGCACGUAGGCUGGUUAGUAAGUUAAAAGUGAAAUUCCAAAGCUUAACUUUGGAAUUGCUUUUAAAACUGCUGAUCUAGAGAUUGAAAGAGGAUAGAGGAAUUCCUAGUGUAGAGGUGAAAUUCGUAAAUAUUAGGAGGAACACCAGUGGCGAAGGCG
rnacentral:rRNA from 1 species